AAGUAAAAUAUUGAUCCGUAUGCUUGCAUACCGGAUCAAUAUUUUAUUUGACGCGUAAACGGCAUAAGCAUGUAGCGCGAAUAGCGCGGAAUGCGAAUGCCGUUUAGGAUUGCGGGAGCGCGCCAGCGCGAAGCAAUCCGC
rnacentral:sRNA from 1 species